rnacentral:siRNA from 1 species
AUCAGCUAUGGAUCGAUUGUGUG